rnacentral:lncRNA from 1 species
AAUAAAUAAGAGGAAGAAAAAUAUGCUUAUUUUCUCAUCAGGAAAAAGACACAGAAAUAAUUUCUUUUUCCAAAUUCUACACUUGACUGACACUUCUGGCCUCACUGAAAUUACACGCCCAGCUCUUCUGAAUACGACGCAAUCUUUUGAAAACUGAGACUGUGAAUGACAUGGAGCCAAACCAAUGGAAGUGGAGCCCAGAGACAUGCCAACUUUUAAGAGCUGAACUGAGCUGCAAGCACUUGGAUAAGUGUUAACAGAAGAGAAGAGGGGAAGAGAGGCCAGCCACGCAGUGUGCUGCUCUGGGAGGGCAUGGUUGGGCAGGAAGAAAAGAAGCCUUCCAGCAAAGCAGACCGUGCUUGGGUCAUGAUGGAGGGGCCACGGAAGCUUGUGUCAGAUUCCAUGGACACUCAGCUCUGCACACGUGCCCCCAAGCUGCCCCUCUGCCGUUGGGGAUGUGUUACCUAAAACCAGGCACUGACCUCAGGUCAGGAACUCUUGAGUGUUUAAUCUCUCUGCUGUUCAUGGCUAGCUGGGUGGCCUCUGAAAUAUUAUUUAAUGUCUCUGGGUUCUGAUUUCCUCACUUGCAUGGUACCCAGUGACCUUGCAGUGACAUUUCACUACUUAGGAAAAAUGGUGCCAUUUGAAUGUUUAGUCUUUACCUAUGGAAAGAUAAGGAGG